CAUAUUACAGUGAAACACCGAUUCUCUUCAGAUCACCAAAGUUAAACAACGUCGAGCCUUGUCAGUACCCAGAUGAGUGACUACUUAGGAAUAUGAGAUGCUGUAAG